ACCCUCUCAGGAUUGCACCUGGAGAGUUUCCAGUACUUUACCAGUCUUGGCUGUGGGAGAGAGAGUCAGGCAGAGGCCUACCCAUUCCAUUCCUAGCUUGGGCAGUGGCUAGAGCAUAGAAGGCAAUCUGCUACAAGU